CAGUAGCCGCGGUAAUACGGAGGGUGCAAGCGUUAAUCGGAAUUACUGGGCGUAAAGAGCUCGUAGGCGGUUUGUCGCGUCUGCUGUGAAAACUGGAGGCUCAACCUCCAGCCUGCAGUGGGUACGGGCAGACUAGAGUGCGGUAGGGGAGAUUGGAAUUCCUGGUGUAGCGGUGGAAUGCGCAGAUAUCAGGAGGAACACCGAUGGCGAAGGCAGAUCUCUGGGCCGCAACUGACGCUGAGGAGCGAAAGCGUGGGGAGCGAACAGGAUUAGAGACCCCUGUAGUCCCUGUCUCUUAUAC
rnacentral:rRNA from 1 species